GAGGAUAUAGCUCAGUGGUACAGUACCUGCCUAGCAUGCAUGAGGUCCUGGAUUCAAUCCCCAGUACCUCCC
rnacentral:tRNA from 1 species